rnacentral:tRNA from 1 species
CGUCGCCCGGGUCGGCCUUGAGGGUCUCGGCGGCGAUCCGGGUGAGCGCGGUGCGGGCGCCGGUGCCGAUGUCGGCGGCGGCGA